GAAGGUAUAGCUCAGUGGUAGAGCGCAUGCCUAGCAUACAUGAGGUCCUGGAUUCAUUCAAUCCUCCACACCUCCA
rnacentral:tRNA from 1 species